GUCUACGGUCAUGCCUUCCUAAACAAGCACAAUACCAUCCAAUUUUGGAAGCCAAGCAGGGUCAGGCCUGGCUAGUACUUGGAUGGGAGAUCACCUAGGAAGACCAGGUGCUGUAAUGG
rnacentral:rRNA from 1 species